UUCAGAUCGCAGUCUGCAACCCGACUGCGUGAAGUCGGAAUCGCUAGUAAUCGCGGAUCAGCAUGCCGCGGUGAAUACGUUCCCGGGCCUUGUACACACCGCCCGUCACACCAUGAGAGUCGGGAACACCCGAAGUCCGUAGCCUAACCGCAAGGGGGGCGCGGCCGAAGGUGGGUUCGAUAAUUGGGGUGAAGUCGUAACAAGGUAGC
rnacentral:rRNA from 1 species